GAAUUGAAAGCUAAUAAUUAUAAGCAACGACCUUGUAAGUCGAAGAAAGAGAACACUCUCAAUUCU
rnacentral:tRNA from 1 species